GAGGGACUUCCGUAAUAAACCCUAUCCUGUCCGGGCAAAGAUUACCUAUUACCAGAAAACACUGACGGUCAUGAUCAAUAAUGGCUUUACACCAGAUAAAAAUGAUUAUGAAUUCUGUGCCAAAGUGGAAAAUAUGGUUAUCCCCACGCAAGGGCAUUUUGGGAUAUCUGCUGCAACAGGAGGUCUUGCAGGUAAAUCUUGCCAUCUUUUCAUAUUGAAAGCUUGUGAAUGAGUCAUACUGGUAAUAGUAUGUUUAGGGAAUGUAGACACAAUUCCGUUUACUCUUAAAAGUCUUUGGAGCCUUCCCACUGUCCGUUAUACCAAUCUUGGCAGUCGGAGCUGCGUGGAUGCAUGCUAAUUACACCAUUCAUUUAGGUGCAGUUUGUAGUGAAGGGGCAUAUUUAAAGUUGAGCAU
rnacentral:lncRNA from 1 species